AUAUUUGUUAAUAAUCUUUGUAGUUAUGAUCUUUCUUGAGUUGUAUCUACUUUUGGAUCAUCUACUACUAAUGCCUGCCAUCAAGAUUUAUCACAAACUCUAUACUUUGCUUUAUUGAGAUACUUGUCAAGAUUUAUCUGUCAAGAUUUCACAAUAUUUGUUAAUAAUCUUUGUAGUUAUGAUCUUUCUUGAGUUGUAUCUACUUUUGGAUCAUCUACUAUUAUUGCCUGCCAUCAAGAUUUAUCACAAACUCUAGACUUAGCCUCCUUGUCAAGAUUUAUCCACUCAAUCUGUUGGUUUUCUGUCACCAAUUAGAGAAGUAACGUUAGUUAUGUCUUGAUAAUUAGGUUUUGACAUAACAAAACAAGUUAAAUGUUUGUAAAUUCAAUAGCUUUCUUUUAUGGUGUUUUCAUGUAAAAUCGGCUAACCAUCCUUCAAAUCUAAUGUUAUCGUCGUAUGCAGGUACGACAACUGUAUUUGCUACUUGUGUAGAUUUCAUGGAGAAUUAGUGAAGCCUUAUGAUACAAGUAGAUUUGGGUAUUAUAGUCUGCUUUACAUUCUUAUUCCUUCGUCAAAGGGUAACCUCUUGGCCUUCUGAUUGUCUUGCAGUUGGAUAUUCUCAUAUAAAAUCAAUAUUGGGGCAUCCUGCAUCCUCUUAGAUGGUUGACAAAAGCAUCAUGGCAUAUGAUUUCACUGCCUACUCAUGAGAUGUUCCACACUUUAUUACAAGCCAUCAACACUUGUCACCUACUCUACAGUUUGCUUCCUUACGUACUUGUCAAUACACACUAGAUCCACUCGAUUUGUUGGUAUGGAGUCAUGGCCUCACCAAUUUUCUGAUGCUACUUUUUUCAACACUGCCACUUCAGAAGACCGCUCAACUGAUCAUUAUAACUAUUAAAGAAGUAAUGUUUAUUUAUGUCUGGAUAAUUACAAGUCCCAGAAAAUACCUUUCAAAUUUUGGUAUAGCUAUAUUAGAGUAAAUUAUCUUAGCCUUCUCCCUUUAUUUUCCUAUUAUUUCUUUUUCUUUUUCACUUUCCAUGGUUGAUUGAGUUCACUCAUGCAUGUUUCUAUUUUUCUAUGUUGUUUUCUAGAACAUCUGUGCUAUAGAAUUCAACAAAAUUUGCUGUCAGAAAGAUGGCAAUUUUAGUAUGUACAAAAUGCUAUGUUAAUACAGGCGCUCAAAAGUAUGGAAACCAUUGCUAGAAGUUAUGAACCAUUGGUGUAGCUAUGUAAGAUAUAUAGCUCCCUUCUGUUCCCUUUCUUUUAUUUACUUUUAUCCUUUCAUAUUUGAUUAAGCUUUUUCAGUUGUACACAAUUCUAUUAGUGUAUGUUGUUUUUGUAUAGGUCCUACAGAAUUCAGAAAAGUUUGCUAUAAAGAAGAAAACAAGUCUAGGAUGUAUACUGCUGGGUGAUCCAAGUAGAAAAUUCAUCACAGAGACAUAUAGUUGUUUUAGGGUGUUUGGCUUUCCCAGAGAAAGUUUCCUUCUCCCUUCAUUUUCCUUUUCUAUUAUUUACCUUUUCUUUUUCUGUUUUUUUGUUCUCUUUCCAUGGUUGAUUCAGCUUCAUACAUUGUGAUUCUCUCAGCUGUUUCAGGUGUUUUUGCCCAUGCCUGUUUCACAGGUGCUCCAAGUGGUACAACCAUCGCUAGAAGCUACAGAAAGAGUUCAACAAAAUUUGCUGUCAGAAAGAUGGCAAAUUUAGUAUGUACAAAAUGCUAUGUCAAGACAGGUGCUCAAAGUAUGGAAACCAUUGCUAGAAGUUAUGAACCAUUGGCGUAGUGAUGUAAGAUAUAUAGCUCCCUUCUGUUCCCUUUCUUUUAUUUACUUUUAUCUUUCCAUAUUUGAUUAAGCUUUUUCACUUGCACACAAUUCUAUUAGUGUAUGUAGUUUUCUUGUAGGUCCCGCAGAAUUCAGAAAAGUUUGCUAUAGAGAAGAAAACAAGUCUAGGAUGUAUACUGCUGGGGGAUCCAAGUAGAAAAAUCAUCAGAGAGACAAAUAGUUGUUUUAGGUUUUUGGCUUUCCCAGAGAAAGUUUCCUUCUCCCUUCACUUCCCUUUUCUAGUAUUUACCUUUUCUUUUUCUGUUUUCUUGUUCUCUUUCCAUGGUUGAUUUAGCUUCAUGGAAUUGUGAUUCUCUCAACUGUUUCAGCCUUUCAGGUGUUUUUGCCCAUGCCCGUCCCGUUUCACAAGUGCUCCAAGUGGUACAACCGUCGCUAGAAGCUCCAGAAAGGUAUUGCCAUAAAAAAAAAGUUGAAUAGUGGUUCAAGGUAUUCUUUCGUAGAGUAAGUUAUCUUGGCCUUCUUCCUUUAUUUCCCUUUUAUUUUAUUUCCUUUUUUUCUGUUUCCGUGGCUUUUCCUAUUAAUAAAUGUUGUUUGCAUAGAACACCGGUGCCAUAGAGUUGAGAAGGUUUGCUUUCAAGAAAAUAGAUCUAGAAUGUACUGAACUGCUAGUACGGACAGGUGCUCCAUCGAAGCUAGGAACUGUGACCAAGCUAUUGGCAUAGAUAUGUGAGAGAUAUAGCCAUUUCAGGUAUGGCUUUGUCAGAAAAAGUUAUCUUAGUGUUUGCCCUUCAGUUUCCUCCUAGUUUAUUACUUCUUCUCUUUCCAUUUUAGGUGUUUCCAUUUGGAUCGUCAAUUGUUUGGUGUUAAAAUUUCAAUUUAACUUCACAUGUUUAUUGAUACUCUUUGGACUCUACUGACAUCAACUUAAUGGGGAUACUGUUCUUUGUGGUAUUGAUGUCUUAAAACUUUGUAUGGAGAUGUGCUUGUUCUAUCCGAUCUCAUUCUCGAUGUCAUGGUCUCUGUUGGUUUGAUUUGUGCUUAAUUGUUACUUUGUAAUUGGGUUAUACAGUAACAUUAUAUGCUUGGUGCUGCAGUGUCGAAAAAGAGCCCUCUUCAGAACUUACUACUUGGGCUUAGCAUUAUGAUAGACAUGGGCAUUAUGACUUUCUAUUAAAAAAAUGUACAUUGUGAAUUCCUGUGCUAGUUCAUAUGUUCUAGUACUGUAUGGACAUUGAGAAAAUCUUUGGAAAGACAUUGGAUGGGCUUUAGCAGAGAUGGAAGGCGUUUGAACGAAGCUCUUCAAACUGUGAAGAGCGAGGAAGUUGGCAACAAGCAACAUGGAUGAUAUGGCUUGAACCCUAUGUGAAAUGUGAAAACAUGUACAAUAAGCUAGGUUUCCAUGGCGGUCAGGCAUGCCAUAUUACACUUUUUCAAGUGGAGUUCAAUUUCUUUCUAUCUUUUAUCACAUUUCCUCUUCAGCUGGAUUUAUUUGCAGUGUAAAUUUUCCAGAGUUAUAAAUCAUUCCUUGCCUUUUGCAAUGUGAUAUGUGAAACCGUGACAAGAAGCUAAAUUUCCUUGGUAGUCAGGUGUGUCCUAUCAUGCUUUUUCUGGUGGAAUUCACUAUCUUUCUUUUUUCAAAUUGCCUCUUCAGCUGGAAUUAUUUGCAGUAAAAGCUCCAAGAUUUGUAAAGCACUCCUUGCCUUUUGCAACUUGAAUAUGGGGACAUGGUUAUCUUUUAAAAGUUGCCUUGAAAUAGAAGUUGGUCACUACUACUCUUUUUGCAAUUGACGUACAGAGGUUGGUGGGCCAAAGUUAGCCUUAUGCUGUCAAAUGCUAUCUUCAUGUAACCCCCUUUAUCACAUCACAUUCCUCUAUUAUCUUAAUAUACCGAAAAAGAAAAUGGCACUUAUCAAUAACCUUUACAAGGCCUUCAAGGAGGCAAGCAUCUAACUAAUGAUCAAUGAGCAUCUAGAGGACCGGAUUAUUAUUUUUAGGUCCCGCAGAAUUCAGAAAAGAAAUCAAGUCUAGGAUGUAUACUGCUGGGUAAUCCAAGUAGAAAAAUCAUCACAGAGACAAAUAGUUGUUUCAGGUGUUUGGCUUUCCCAGAGAAAGUUUCCUUCUCCCUUCACUUUCCUUUUCUGUUAUUUACCUUUUCUUUUUCUGUUUUCUUGUUCUCUUUCCAUGGUUGAUUCAGCUUCAUGGAAUUGUGAGUCUCUCAACUGUUUCAGCCUUUCAGGUGUUUUUGCCCAUGCCCGUUUCACAGGUGCUCCAAGUGGUACAACCAUCGCUAGAAGCUCCAGAAAGGUAAUUCCAUAAAAAAAAAAAAAUUGAAUGGUGGUUCAAGGUAUUCUUUCGUAGAGCAAGUUGUCUUGGCCUUCUUGCUUUAUUUCCCUUUUAUUUUAUUUCAUUUUUUCUGUUUCCGUGGCUUUUCCUAUUAAUAAAUGUUGUUUGCAUAGAACGCUGGUGCCAUAGAGUUGAGAAGGUUUGCUUUCAAGAAACAGAUCUAGAACGUACUGAACUGCUAGUACGGACAGGUGCUCCAUUGAAGCUAGGGAACUGUAAGCAAGCUAUUGGCAUAGAUAUGUGAGAUUAUAGCCAUUUCAGGUGUUUCCAUUUGGAUCGUUCAUCCUCUCUAUUGCAUUUGAAGCGAUUGUUUGGUGUUAAAAUUUCAGUUUGACUUCACAUGUUUUAUUGAUACUCUUUGGACUCUACUGACAUCAACUUAAGGAAGAUACUGUUCUUUCUGGUAUUGAUGUCUUAAAACUUUGUACGGAGAUGCGCUUGUUCUUUCCGAUCUCAUUCUUGAUGUCAUGGUCUCUGUUGGUUUGAUGCGUGCUUAAUUGUUAACUUUGUAAUUGGGUUAUACGGUAACAUUAUGCUUGGUGCUGCAGUGUCGAAAAGAGCCCUCUUCAGAACAUACUUUUUGGGCUUAGCAUUAUGAUAGGCGUGGGCAUUAUGACUUGCUAUUAAAAAAUGAUGAGACAAAGGAACAAAUUCAAACUAUUAUCAAGGUAUAUUUGCUGAUGUGUUCACCAUUCAUUUCUCUUACCUUUACUGCUCUUUUGUUCACUUAUAGAUCUAGCGACAUCUAUGGGUGAUUUAUUAAGCGGAUUUUCCGAAAAAGGGUUUUUAAUGAGACAAUGCUUCCAACUUUCAAGUGUUGGGAAAAAUAAAUGUAUGUGCAGAUAGUCUUCAAUAACUUGUUACAAAUAAUGUACUGAUCUGUUUUUUUCCUAGUAAAGAGUGUGCUUACUUUAAUCCUCAAAAAAAGAGUGUUUACUUUGGUGAGUAUGCAAUUGAAGUACUAUAGUUGGAAUCGAUAAAUCAAAUUCUUUUGGUCUUGUUUAUUAUGUGGCAGUUUAUAGUGUUUCAGUGGACGAGUUCCGCUUGAGCUUUGUAUUGCUUCUCGGCGGUGUAGACUCCUUAGCAAGGAAGCUGGAGCUGCUUAUGCUCUUUUUGAUCUCUUCCAUUGUUAAAGGUGAAAAGGUAAGAGCUGAAUUAUCAGAGGUAAUACAGCCAAUAUGAUGUGACUAUGAUUGACAGAAUUAUUACUGGAGAAAUAAUCUCUUCUCUUGCUAUUUGGUGAAGUACAAAGGUAUAUGUCAUUUUGUAUCAGAUUUUGCUUACACUUGGAAUCAGUUUUUGUUUACUGUUCAAGGAAUCACCUUUUAGCAGUAAUUUAUUUUAUUGAAACUGAUCAACUCAAUUUGAUCGAUACAAUAAUUGUGUGUCUAAAAGAAGUUAUAUGAAUCAGCGAGCCUUUCCCCUUUUUAUGAAAUUAGGUUGUUUCCUUUCUAUUACAACCAGAUUUUUACCUGUCAAUUGUAUGCUUUGUAUCUUUGAGAAAAUUGUGUCUUAUUCACAAUAAUAAGUUUUCUGAAGUUUGAGAAAAUUGUAUCUUAUUCACAAUAAUAAGUUUUCUGAAGCCAAUGUGAAAUCGAAACACACUGACGAGAAGCUAAGUUUCCAUGGCAGUCUGGCAUGUCCUAUCAAUUGCAUUUCCAGUUUGAUUUUAUGCUUUUGAGCUCAAUAUGUUUCUGUUUUUUUUUCAUAUUGCCUCUUCCGAUGGAUUUAUUAGCAUUGUGAAUUUCCAGGGUGACUGUCUUUUGCAACUUAAAGACGCGGACAUGAUUUUCUUGUAAAAUCGUUUUAAUAUCAACAUUCUAUGAAAAGGCUGAUCCAAACUUUGUAAUGUUGACACCGACCAAGGAGCACUUGGCGGAAGGAAUAAACUGGAAAGUUGGGAAGAGACCACCGACUUGUCACUUCCAAUCAUGGUAAUGUCGUAAUGAGGGAAUAACUAAAGAACAUAAAUCGCAUUACACCUCUUCAUGAUUUCGCAGCCAUGCUGAGAAGUAGCUAGUUUAAUACUAUGUUCAUUUCGAACUAGGUACCACUUGAAACUAAUAACUCUACUUGAAACUAAUAACUCUUAAGAGUCUAGAUUCAGUACAUAAAUUAUAUUUGCUAUGUGUGCGGAGAUCACAGAGAGAUAAAUGUAGCUUUUGGUAUUAUAGUAUGUUUUACAUUCUUAUUCUGUCCUCAUAUGGUAACAUCCAUCUUGGCCUUUUGAUCGUCUUGCAGUUAAACAUUCUCAUCUAAA